rnacentral:rRNA from 1 species
AGGCUUGCUUCCUCAUCGAGUGGCGAACGGGUGAGUAACGCGUGAGGAACCUGCCUCAAAGAGGGGGACAACAGUUGGAAACGACUGCUAAUACCGCAUAAGCCCACAGCUCGGCAUCGAGCAGAGGGAAAAGGAGCAAUCCGCUUUGAGAUGGCCUCGCGUCCGAUUAGCUAGUUGGUGAGGUAACGGCCCACCAAGGCGACGAUCGGUAGCCGGACUGAGAGGUUGAACGGCCACAUUGGGACUGAGACACGGCCCAGACUCCUACGGGAGGCAGCAGUGGGGAAUAUUGCACAAUGGGGGAAACCCUGAUGCAGCGACGCCGCGUGGAGGAAGAAGGUCUUCGGAUUGUAAACUCCUGUUGUUGAGGAAGAUAAUGACGGUACUCAACAAGGAAGUGACGGCUAACUACGUGCCAGCAGCCGCGGUAAAACGUAGGUCACAAGCGUUGUCCGGAAUUACUGGGUGUAAAGGGAGCGCAGGCGGGAAGACAAGUUGGAAGUGAAAUCUAUGGGCUCAACCCAUAAACUGCUUUCAAAACUGUUUUUCUUGAGUAGUGCAGAGGUAGGCGGAAUUCCCGGUGUAGCGGUGGAAUGCGUAGAUAUCGGGAGGAACACCAGUGGCGAAGGCGGCCUACUGGGCACCAACUGACGCUGAGGCUCGAAAGUGUGGGUAGCAAACAGGAUUAGAUACCCUGGUAGUCCACACCGUAAACGAUGAUUACUAG